rnacentral:snRNA from 1 species
AGCUUUGCGCAGUGGCAGUAUCGUAGCCAAUGAGGUUUAUCCGAGGCGCGAUUAUUGCUAAUUGAAAAAGAGGUCAAAGUCCGUAAGCCCAUGCUCAGUUUGUAGCAAGGAUCCUGAGAC